CUGGUCCGAAAGUGCCGCGUAGCGACUGGCUGAGGGCCGGACUUUCUUUGGCCUGGUGCUCUGCAGCUGCUGAUGCCACUGGGCUAAAAAAAAAAAAAAAAGAUUUUGUUUUUAACCCGGAUGUAAUUGGAAAGUGCUCAGAUCAUGGAAUGCUAUCAAUAGGAAUGAGUUUCUGAAAGUUGGAUGCAUGUACAAAAGACACAUGCGCACACGCAGACCUACUGCUGAGCUGCGUAAGCUGGGUUAGCAGCAAGACAUCGAGCCACAGCAAGGACACACGCCUCGAGUGCGUUAGGAACCACGGCAGGCGCACACUGCAGGAGGAAGGGUUAGGCAGUCGUCCGCGGGACAUGGGACGAGGAACUAAGAAAAACCAGGCCACGCCUUUGCCAGCUGUUAGCUGUAAGGACACCUGGGUAAGGAAGCCAGCUGGCUAGCCAGUCAUGUGAGAGGAGUCAACAUGCGUGUUUUGCUAAUAAUGCAAAGUUCCUGAAGGUACUUGGGUGUUUGUUCUCCUGGUGUAGUUCACUAUUAAUGUUGAGAAACUAUAAAUAGAAAGAGAAAGAGCAACAUGAAAUUUUUAGCAAAUAAAACAAGAUCAUAUAAAAGU